rnacentral:rRNA from 1 species
GUACACGCUGUGACUAGCAUAUCAAUAAGCGGAGGAAAAGAAACUAACAAGGAUUCCCCUAGUAACGGCGAGUGAAGCGGGAAGAGCUCAAAUUUGAAAUCUUAAAGGGUUUCCCUUUACGAAUUGUAGUUUAAAGAAGUGUUUUCUGUUGAGGUUUUGGUAAAAGUUCUUUGGAAUAGGACAUCAUAGAGGGUGAGAAUCCCGUAUUUGACCUUUACUUUCAACUUUGUGAUACACUUUCAAAGAGUCGGAUUGUUUGGGAAUGCAGUCCAAAAUGGGUGGUAAAUUUCAUCUAAAGCUAAAUAUUGGCGAGAGACCGAUAGCGAACAAGUACCGUGAGGGAAAGAUGAAAAGAACUUUGAAAAGAGAGUUAAACAGUACGUGAAAUUGUCAAAAGGGAAGCGUUUGACACCAGUGUUGUUCUUCUGAAAAUCAAUUAAAGAACUGUUUAUGCUAAGUUGUUUAGACUUUAUCAGCUAACUGUUUAGUUUUGAGCUUUUCUUUAAUGCACUUUUCAGGUUAACAAGUCAACAUCAAUUUCUUUUGCUGUAAAAAAGCUUGAGGAAGGUGGCUUGAGAUUCGUCUUAAGUGUUUAUAGCCUCUUGCCUAUGCAGUCGGAGAGAUUGAGGUCUGCAGCGUAGAUCCUUCGGGGCUAAAUGCAUUUGUGCUAAGUUAUAGCAUUUUAUAGACAACUUGUUGACUAUGAUUUGUCUUGUAGCUUACUCGCUUAUGUUAUUUUACCUACGCUUAGGAUGUUGAAGUCAUCGUAUCGCGC